AGCAGCCGCGGUAAUUCCAGCUCCAAUAGCGUAUAUUAAAGUUGUUGCAGUUAAAAAGCUCGUAGUUGAAUUUCGAGACCGGUUUACUGGUCGUGCUUUUGUACGUACUGGUAUAAUCGGUUUCUCUUUUCUGACGAACUAUAAUGCCAUUAAUUUGGUGUUAUAGGGAAUCAGGACUGUUACUUUGAAAAAAUUAGAGUGUUUAAAGCAGGCUCACGCUUGAAUACAUUAGCAUGGAAUAACGGAAUAGGACGUUUGAUUCUAUUUUGUUGGUUUCUAGGAUCGACGUAAUGAUUAAUAGGGAUAGUUGGGGGCAUUAGUAUUCAAUUGUCAGAGGUGAAAUUCUUGGAUUUAUUGAAGACUAACUACUGCGAAAGCAUUUGCCAAGGAUGUUUUCAUUAAUCAAGAACGAAAGUUAGGGGAUCGAAGACGAUCAGAUACCGUCGUAGUCUUAACCAUAAACUAUGCCGACUAGGGAUCGGAUGAUGUUAAUUUUUUAAUGACUCAUUCGGCGCCUUACG
rnacentral:rRNA from 1 species